rnacentral:ncRNA from 20 species
AAUUUUCUUCGGGGCAGGGUGAAAUUCCCAACCGACGGUAACAAGUACGCUUGGAGUCCGUGACCCGUUAGCAUUUAUGUUAACGGUUGAACCAGUGAAAAUCUGGUACCGACAGUAUAGUCUGGAUGGGAGAAGAAAACU